rnacentral:lncRNA from 1 species
UGUCCUGAUACUAAUUCUUCAGUAGCUUACGCACGUAUAAUGUGUAUUUGUUUCAGUGAUUGUUGUCCAUUUAGAUACCUACGACCAUGGCCUAAUUUGUGUCUCAAAGUGUUGAAAUGAUUUUAUCAUAGACUGUUAUACGUUUUGAUUGCUGUGAGCAUUCAAGGGCCCCAUGCCAUUUGGGGGAAGCUCUUUCAAUAGCUUCGAAAUACCUGCAGGUUCUCUGCGGGGUGCUCGGAAGUUGGGGCCCUAGAUAAAAUGCAGUGGUCUCAUAGUACGAGGAUGCGCUUUGGUCGAUGAUUUCUCACCGAUCAGUCUUUCGCAGCCUUGCCUCCAGUGACCCCCAUACUUGUUGAAUCACAACCCUUAUAAUCGUGGCAUGUAUAGUUAGGAUGUAGCGAAUGGUGAGAUUUGUUUGCUGUACUAUCGUGUAUACAUUUGUAGCAUCAUCUAUUCCAAUCUGCGUUUUUGUUUGAUUUUGGUAGCUCUUGGUGAUGUAUUAGUCUCUGGAGUAUUCAACUUGUCUUUGUUUCCCUUGUGAACUUGAUGUAUUGAACCAGAUAACUGUGUUGGUUCCCCCAUCAGUGUUUCCAAGGCAUCAGAGUUGGUAAAUAUUGUGAAAUCAGUUCACGCAUAGUCAAGCCUAGAAUUCUAGGCAUGAACUAUUUCUGUUUUUCGCAUCUGAUUGUUAUGCACGUUCAAGGGCCCCAUGCCAAUUGAGGGAAGGUCUUUUUGCUAGCUUCGAAAUACCUGCAGGUUCUCUGUGGGGUGCUCGGAAGUUGGGGCCCGAUAUAAAGUGCAGUGGUUUCAUAGUACGAGGAUGUGCUUUGGUUGAUACUCAUUUGACCAAUUCUUCACAGCCUUGCCUCCAAUGACCCCCAUAUUUGUUAUUUCUCGUUAGUGUAUCACUCAUGCAGUAAGAUUAAUUUGCUUGUUGUACCAUUGUAUACUUGUGUUGUUUAGGUAUUUGAGAUGUUUUAUUCCUUGCAUUGGAUUGCAUAUCGUUCCCCUCAGUCUAGAAUCCAGAAAUAGGGAUUAUGAGCUAGAUGGGCUUUUGGAUCGUUGCCUUAAUACAAUGUAUUUAAGAUCACAGCGUGUUUUAUCUUUACUUGCUACCUGUGUUUUAUGUUACAAUGAUAUCACUAUGUAGUCUCUUUUCCUGAAAGUUCCAAUCCUUGUUUACAAGCAUCACAUGCCCAGAAAUGUGAGAACUCACAAGUGCUUCUCUUUCUCUUUGCAGGUUUUUUUUUUGCCUAUUCUAUUUAGUUGUAGCUGGCUUCCUGGAUGUCUGUUAUCAGUUUGAUGACAGGUUUAUAACCAAAGAUUUUGGAAAGAGUUUAGUUAAUACUCCCUCUGUAAACUAAUAUAAGAGCAUUUAGAUCACUACUUUAGUAUUCU